CCUCCCGCGCAUAGUUACGGUUGCUACGACAUGAUUGGCCAGUGGCGGUUUUCGGGCGUGGCAGACAUUUUACCAGCUAACACACACAUUCUACCCUCCUUCUCUCUACUUUCAGAGGCAGAAGUCUUCAAACUCCUUUCCAAUCGCCCUUUUACAUGCUCGCUUGAUCCUAUUCCCACUUCAAGCCAUUUCUUCCUCAGUUGUACCCGCACUCACACACAUCAUAAACACUUCUCUUCACACUGGUACAUUUCCCACAGCAUUUAAGCAGGCUCAGGUAAACCUACGGCUUAAGAAACUCACUCUAAAUCCAGCAAAUCUGGAAAGCUACAGACUUGUAUCCCUUCUUCCAUUCAUCACGAAAACACUUGAACGAGUUGUUUUCAACCAGAUCUCUUCCUUACAAAGAACAACCUCUUGGACAAUAAUCAGCCUGGUUUCAAAAGCGGACACCCAGCUGAGACUGCCCUGCUCUCAGUAAUUGAAGCUCUGAAACUGGCAAGAGCAGCUUCCAAAUCCUCAGUUCUCAUCCUGCUGGAUCUGUCUGCUGCCUUUGACACAGUUAACCACCAGAUCCUCCUGUCAAUCCUAAAGAUAAAGGGCAUCUCGGGAACCACAAUCAAAUGGUUCAAGUCUUACCUCUCAGGUAGGUGCUUUAGGGUGUCUUGGAGGGGUCAGUUGUCUAAAACCCAACAUCUAGCUACUGGAGUGCCUCAGGGCUCAGUUCUUGGUCCACUUCUCUUUUCCACCUACAUGACAUCACUAGAAUCUGUGAUUCAGAAACAUGGCUUUUUCUAUCACUGCUGAUGACACACAACUCUACCUCUCAUUUCAGCCUGAUGAUCCGACGGUAGCUGCUUGCAUCUCAGUCUGCCUGACAAACAUUUCUGGCUGGAUAAAGGACCACCACUUACAACUAAACCUUGAGAAGACAGAGCUACUUGUAGUCCUGGCCAACCCAACACUUCAACCCAACAACUUCACCAUUCAGCUAGGCUCGUCAUCCAUAACUACAUCAAGGAGGACUGCAGGAGUUCCCACACUUCACUGGGCAAAAAUCCACCCCAGAUACCCAGACAAGAGGCAUCUCAGUCCGCCUUGAGUAAUCCACACAGGAAGUUUACCUUUCCGGAGAGCAUACGCAGACCGUUCUUCCAGCCUUGGAUAAGUAACAGAUUAUUUGGCAAUGGGAACCAGGCUCACACUGCCUGCUCUACAUUUGCCAAACUCUUUAUUGGGGAAUUAAAAUAUAUUUAACCAGGACCGAGUGCAGACUUUCCAAAUGAAACCCUCAAUCAUCAAGACAGAGAUUGAUUCGGUUUCAUAUGCCACGCCAUCUUGAAAGGGGUUGAAUGAUAGGCUUGUGGUUUGUUUCUGGUUACCAGGGGUGAGAAUCAACCAACAGUGGUCUGAGGAGGGACAAACCACAAAUCAGCGACGGGGGUUGGAGACCCGAGGCUCAUCGAUGGAGCCAACAAAAGGAUGGUGGUUAUUGGAGGAAUGUGUCACAACACAGUGUGUCACACACUCUGCUGCGUGUUGGGACUGCAUAGCCACAGACCAAUCAGAGUGCCUAUGAUGACCCCUGUCCACUGUUGAAAGUGCCUACCAAUGGGAAGGUGAGCGUCAGAACUGGACCUUGGAGCAGUGGAAGAUGGUCACCUGGUCCAAUGAGUCUCCUUUUCUUUAACAUCAUAUGGACAGUCAUGUAUGUGUGCUGUGUUUAUCUGCGGAAAUGAUGGCACCACGAUGCAUUGUGGGACGACAAGCGUGAUGCUCUGGUCAAUGUUCUGCUGGGAAACCCUGGGUCUACCAUUAAUAUGGACGUAAAUUUGACACAUGCCACCUACCUAAACAUUGUUGCAGACAAGGUACACCCCUUCAUGACAAUGGUGUUCCCUGAUGGGAGUUCCUCUUUCAGCUGGGUAAAGCACCCUAAUAAUUUGGGGUGAAAAGUUCAGGGUGUUACCCUGGCCUCCAAAUCCCCAGAUCUCAAUCCAAUUGACCAUCUGUAUGAUGUGCUGAACCAACAAGCUUCUUCUACAACGCCUCCACCUCGCAACCUACAGGUCUUGAAGGAUCUGCUGCUAAUAUCUUGGUGCCUUUAGGGGUCUAAAGUCCUUGCCUCGACAGGUCUGUAUAUGUAUAUAUGGUGGUGUUUGCUUCGGAUGAGAUAUUAAACCGAGGUCCUGACUCUCUGUGGUCAUUAAAAAUUCCAGGAUGUCCUUUGGAAAAAAGAGUAGGGGUUUAACCCCGGCAUCCUGGCCAAAUUUGCCCUACCAAUCAUCCUCGUAUAUACUUAUUGGCCUCAUCACUCUUUCUCCUCUCCACCAAUAAUCUGGUGUGUGGUGGGAAUUCUGGCACAAUAUGGCUGCCGUCACUACAUCCAGGUGGAUGCUGCACAUUUGUUGGUGGUUGAGGAGCUUCAACCCCUUCUAUGUAAAGCGCUUUAAGCACCCAUGAAGAAAAGCGCUAUAUAAAUGUAACAAAAUGCUUUGGGUUUCAUAUGUCAGAAAUCCAAGGAUUCUACUGAAGCCAUGGACUGGGGAAGAAACCACAGUAAAUAAAAAUAAAACAUCUGUCUGCCCCAUAUCUAGAGUGAGAAACCUGACUUGCAUUCAAUCUCAGGGGCCAUUAAACUUCACCUUUUUCAGUAGCUGGGAGGUUUUACUAAGUGAACUCAGAUGUACUCGCGCUUGAAUGCAAAAAAGGACAAGGUAUUUAUAUCUCAGCAAGCCAUUGCAAGACAGCGCAGCAUUUCUGCUGGGAUAAU